rnacentral:rRNA from 1 species
AGAUUGAACGCUGGCGGCGUGCCUAACACAUGCAAGUCGAGCGGUAACAGGUGUAGCAAUACAUGCUGACGAGCGGCGAACGGGUGAGUAAUGCUUUGGAAUCUUCCCAGUAGUGGGGAAUAACCAGUCGAAAGAUUGGCUAAUACCGCAUACGUCUGUAAAGGGAAAGCGGGGGCUCGUAAGACCUCGCGCUAUUGGAUGAGCCAAAGUCGGAUUAGCUAGUUGGUGGGUAAUGGCCUACCAAGGCGACAAUCCGUAGCUGGUCUGAGAGGACGACCAGCCACACCGGAACUGAGACACGGUCCGGACUCCUACGGGAGGCAGCAGUGGGGAAUAUUGGACAAUGGGGGAAACCCUGAUCCAGCGACGCCGCGUGUGUGAAGAAGGCCUGCGGGUUGUAAAGCACUUUUAGUGGGGACAAAAAGCUACGGAUUAAUACUCUGUGGUCUUGAUUUAACCCAAAGAAAAGCACCGGCUAACUCUAGUGCCAGCAGCCGCGGU